GAUGAACGCUGGCGGCGUGCCUAAUACAUGCAAGUCGAGCGAACAGACGAGAUUGCUUGCACUCUCUGACGUUAGCGGCGGGCGAGUGAGUAACACGUGGGUAACCUCCCUAUGAGACGGGGAUAACUUCGGGAAACCGGAGCUAAUCCCGGAUAAUAUUUAGCUUCGCAUGGCGCAAUAGUGAAAGACUGUUCGGCUGUCAAUUAUAGAUGGACCCGCGCGGUAUUAGCUUGUUGGGGAGGUAACGGCUCCCACAGGCUACGAUACAUAGCCGACCUGAGAGGGUGAUCGGCCACACUGUGACUGAGACACGGCCCAGACUCCUACGGGGGGCAGCAGUAGGGAAUCUUCCGCAAUGGACGAAAGUCUGACGGAGCAAUGCCGCGUGAGUGAAGAAGGUGCUCGGAUCGUAAAACUCUGUUGUAAGGGAAGAACAAGUACGUUAGUAACUGAACGUACCUUGACGGUACCUGAACAGAAAGCCACGGCUAACUACGUG
rnacentral:rRNA from 1 species